rnacentral:rRNA from 1 species
ACCUACGGGAGGCAGCAGUGAGGAAUAUUGGUCAAUGGCCGCAGGGCUGAACCAGCCAAGUCGCGUGAGGGAUGACGGUCCUAUUGAUUGUAAACCUCUUUCGUCAGGGAGCAAAGGGCGCCACGUGUGGCGUUUUGCGAGUACCUGAAGAAAAAGCAUCGGCUAACUCCGUGCCAGCAGCCGCGGUAAUACGGAGGAUUCAAGCGUUAUCCGGAUUUAUUGGGUUUAAAGGGUGCGUAGGCGGUUCGAUAAGUUAGAGGUGAAAUCGCGGGGCUCAACUCCGGCACUGCCUCUGAUACUGUCGG